UUUGGGCAAUGGAACACCUGUAAAGAGAUUAGACUUUUCUUAAUUUUAAAUUUCCAGUUUUCUUUUUCCACAAUCUGUAGAUGGAAACAAACCAAGACUAACUAACACAUGGAAUUUAGGAACCUAUGAAAUUGUUCUGUGGGAUACUGACUUUUAACAGUCAUUUCAGUAAUAGAUCCUAUACAAUAAGUUCUAAGGUCAACAUGAUAAAUCCAAAAUAACCAACAUAUCUCAAAUGUUUUACAAUAUUUACAUUUACAUGUGUACCUGUAGCUGAAAACCUCAAAAUCUGGUCAUGUCUUCAAGAAUAAAAUAAGAAAUCACUAAGGUAAUUUUGAGUAUUGUCUUCUGGAAGUCAACCCUGUCAUCCAAUGAAGUAUUGUAGUAAAAUUAGAGUAUCCACUAUCCAGUGAUAAUCAUUUUAUUAUGUAUUUUUUCUAAACUUCAUUCUAGGCACAAUUUUGUGUUUUCUCAUUUUAUAUAACUGCAGUCAUAUUUGUAUGAACAAAUUUAUAUAUCUUGCUCCUUUAACAUUUUAACUUAGACAUUUUCUGUGUGGACAUAAACUCCCACUGGCAUUUAUAAUGGUUGCCUAAUUUUCUGUUUAUAGUUAAUAACAGUAUUAGUUGCUUAUUGGCAAACAUUUAGAUUGCUUUAUAGUUGUGAAAAAAAUGCUAUGAGACAGUUUUAUAUAUGAGGACUUUUCCUUCUCUUUCAGUUCAUUUGAAAAAUUGACUAGUAUGAAUAUUAUUUCUUAAAGUUUAUUGGAGGAAAGUUUUUUCUCAACCUCACAUUUUAUAGAUGGGAAGUCCAGUUACCUGCUAUCAGGCCUAAGACCAGCUCUCCUGAUUUUGAGUCUUGGAUUUUUAGUGGGAAAUGAGGAGUCAAAGAAAUGUUCCCCAGAAUGGAUCUACAGUAUAAUUCCAUAUUGGUAGCCAGGUACAUUAGGUAACUGUAAGCCUGCUUUUAAUGAAUAUAUUUCAGGAUUUCUCUCUCUUUAAGAUGUGCAGGAAGUGAUGUCCCCAGGAUGGCAACCUUAUUUAUUCCUGGCUUUGUUUCCUCUUCCCCCAAGAACAACUAACAAUUUAUGGACAAGACACCACUGAGAAAAUCCUAAAACUUAUAAAUGAGGCUGAAGUACCCUCCUGCACUACAGAGAACCAGGACAAACUACAUUAGAAGGAUAUUUCCAGCAGACACCAGAAACCCAAAGUGAGCUGACCAAUGAACCCAAAGCAGAUCUUAAAAGUCUGGAAGAGGAGACCACUUACUCCAGUGCACAGAUACCAGCGUAAGAAUCAAGGAGCAUGAAAAAUCAGGUACACAGGUAAAUAGAAGGGAGGGUCUUGCCGAGAGUUGUUUGCCUGCUCAGAACAUCGCAUCACUGCUGUCGGGAAUGGCUCAGGUGUCUGAGAUGCCUGCCUCACGGCACACAUUCCUGCAUCUGUUGAAUGGUGCCCUUGAUGACUGUGUCCCCACAGUAUAGUCACAGAGGAGCCUGAAUCUCACUCCUUCAUUUGCCUCCUGGUGAGUCAUGCUUGAGACAACCUUCGUAAGACUUAACUCUUUUAUUAUAAAUUGCUUCUCAUUUCUCCCGACAUUACAGUUACAGCAUCAUUUUGACUUUGAAAGCUGUGUGUAAGUAGACUGUGUUUUCUAUGAGUUUCAUUUCAGGCUGGUAGAGAGAACAUUCGGAUCUUCGUUAUUAAAAGGGGACGUUGAAUCUGAAAGGACUGACACCCACUGCUCAAGAACACAACUCUACCCAAUAUAUUCUGUGAUAAUCUGUGUGGGGAAAGAAUCUGAAAGAGAAUGGAUGUGUGUCUAUGUAUAAUGGAAUCUUUUUGUCAUACAGCAGAAAUUAUUACAACCUUGUAAAUCAACUAUACUUCAAUAAAACUUUAAAAAGAGGGGAAAAAGAAUACAUGGAAUAGUCUGAUCUCUGCAGAGGUCACAUAUUUGUUGCCUGUUAACUACAACCAUCCUUGCUGAGGGGGGCUAACUUCUGAUUGCUCUACUUAUGUUGAUCAGUGUAGACAUUCUGGCUCUGGGAGGUAUGCUGUACUCUUGAGUUGAGGGUAGAGAGACAAAGAGGGGUAGGUCAUCACUCCACUUCUAGGAAAUAUGAUGGAGUGGAAAGAGCAGGGACCUGAGAUUCUGGGGACCUGGGUUCAGCUCUACUGAACUCUCUGUGUCCUUAGAUGUGUUGCUUCAGUUCUGUGAGUUUUGGAGUGACCUGUGUUCUUGAGCAGUGGUGGUCAAUCCUUUCAGAUUCCAUGCCCCCUUUUAAUAACAAGGAUCUUAAUAGUCUCUCUACCAUUUAGACCAGAUCCCCUACAGUUUCAAUGUUCUGUGGCUUGAUCUUAGUCAAUAAAGUGUCAAUAAAAUGUCCCACAUAGGAGUACCCUUUGUGGCUCAGUGGUUAAACAAACCCAACUAGGAUCCAUGAGGAGGCAGGUUCAAUCCCUGGCCUGGCUUGCAGGUAAGGAUCCGUCAUUGCCAUGA